AUCAGCAACAAAUAUUCCACAAAUCAAGCUAAUAGCAAGAAAUCAGGAGCAAAAUUUUGAAUGAGAUCUUAGGCUGUCUUCCAAUAUAUGAGACGAUGUGCGAUCUAGGUUUUUUUUUUAUGAUUGCGAUUACUCUCUUAACUCCUAAGCCCUAAUCGACCAUUUAUCUACAAUCUACAUAGAAAACUGAAAAUUAGCGGGAGAUACUGAUAAGAGAAGGCGGGACACAGGAUGAAGCCACGAACUAUGUUGUUGCUGCUGGUGUUCAAUGGUUUCUUGAAGAUAUUCGAUUUGUUCCUUAUAAACCAACAGAUUGAAGGUCUUGAUGGACAUAUUAUUAUGGGCAUACCAACGCUCAUUGGAACAUGAACGGUUAAAUUUAAAAAAAGAAUAUGAAGAAAAAUGGCAAAAACACCACAAGCUAUUGGCCUUGGUAUCAAAAGAUGGAACAAAUUGUUGAGAAUUGAUUUCCCUUAAAAGUUGUAGUGGAUGAAGAUAUUGCUAUAGGAGGAAUCCAUGGAUAAUGAGUUUUUAGAAAGAAUAAAAAAGAUGCCAAAGGCACAUACAGAAAGAGAAUUUUAGAGCAUUUGGGAUAUCUUCAUCUUCUUAGACGGGAACAACUAGACGACUUAUUUCGGGUCGUAGAAUGAGCAAGCAACAAGGAUCAUCAAGGAAUGUCGAAUAUAGCACCAACUAAUACUCUGUUGUUCCACCUGUGCAUUACCAAGGGUGAAAGUGGAUUUAUGGAGGAUUCUGAAAUUGUUUUAGAUUAAUGGAAGAUUCUGAGAAUGUUUCGGAAGCUAGAAUUCAAGAAUUCAUAAAUAAUCUUCGGAUUUUAUAUCCCAAAACGCUCUUUUCCACGUAAUAAUAUAAACUUCUUUGUCACCUUUUCACUUUA